UUACAACACUUUAGUGCACAAAAAUGGAC
rnacentral:sRNA from 1 species